rnacentral:rRNA from 1 species
GACAAACGCUGGCGGCGUGCUUAACACAUGCAAGUCGAACGGAAAGGCCCUGCUUUUGUGGGGUGCUCGAGUGGCGAACGGGUGAGUAACACGUGAGUAACCUGCCCUUGACUUUGGGAUAACUUCAGGAAACUGGGGCUAAUACCGGAUAGGAGCUCCUGCUGCAUGGUUGGGGUUGGAAAGUUUCGGCGGUUGGGGAUGGACUCGCGGCUUAUCAGCUUGUUGGUGGGGUAGUGGCUUACCAAGGCUUUGACGGGUAGCCGGCCUGAGAGGGUGACCGGCCACAUUGGGACUGAGAUACGGCCCAGACUCCUACGGGAGGCAGCAGUGGGGAAUAUUGCACAAUGGGCGGAAGCCUGAUGCAGCAACGCCGCGUGCGGGAUGACGGCCUUCGGGUUGUAAACCGCUUUCGCCUGUGACGAAGCGUGAGUGACGGUAAUGGGUAAAGAAGCACCGGCUAACUACGUG